GACUAACGCUGGCGGCGUGCCUAAUACAUGCAAGUCGAACGGGAUUCUUUGAUCAGUUUGCUGAGAGAAGGAUCUAGUGGCGGACGGGUGAGUAACGCGUGGGAAUCUGCCUCUUACUGGGGGAUAACAGUGGGAAACUACUGCUAAUACCGCAUAAGAUCUUCGGAUGAAAGGUGCAACUGCACCGGUAAGAGAUGAGCCCGCGUCCCAUUAGCUAGUUGGUGAGGUAAAGGCUCACCAAGGCGACGAUGGGUAGCCGGCCUGAGAGGGUGAACGGCCACACUGGGACUGAGACACGGCCCAGACUCCUACGGGAGGCAGCAGUAGGGAAUCUUCCGCAAUGGGCGCAAGCCUGACGGAGCGACGCCGCGUGAGUGAUGAAGGCCUUCGGGUCGUAAAGCUCUGUUCUUGAGGACGAAUAAGCCAGGGAGUGGAAAGCCCUGGUGAUGACUGUACUCAAGGAGAAAGCUCCGGCUAACUACGUGCC
rnacentral:rRNA from 1 species